GAUGAACGCUGGCGGCGUGCUUAACACAUGCAAGUCGAACGGUGAAGCAGGAGCUUGCUCCUGUGGAUCAGUGGCGAACGGGUGAGUAACACGUGAGCAAUCUGCCCUGGACUCUGGGAUAAGCGUUGGAAACGACGUCUAAUACCGGAUACGAGGCGUGGGGGCAUCCCCAACGCCUGGAAAGAACUUCGGUCCAGGAUGAGCUCGCGGCCUAUCAGGUAGUUGGUGAGGUAACGGCUCACCAAGCCUACGACGGGUAGCCGGCCUGAGAGGGUGACCGGUCACACUGGGACUGAGACACGGCCCAGACUCCUACGGGAGGCAGCAGUGGGGAAUAUUGGACAAUGGGCGGAAGCCUGAUCCAGCAACGCCGCGUGAGGGAUGACGGCCUUCGGGUUGUAAACCUCUUUCAGUACCGACGAAGCGAAAGUGACGGUAGGUACAGAAGAAGGACCGGCCAACUACGUGCCAGCCGCCGCGGUAAAAC
rnacentral:rRNA from 1 species